rnacentral:rRNA from 1 species
AUUGAACGCUGGCGGAAUGCUUUACACAUGCAAGUCGAGCGGCAGCGCGGUCUUCGGACUGGCGGCGAGCGGCGAACGGGUGAGUAAUACAUCGGAACAUGCCCAGUCGUGGGGGAUAACACUUCGAAAGAAGUGCUAAUCCCGCAUACGUCCUGAGGGAGAAAGCGGGGGAUCGCAAGACCUCGCGCGACUGGAUUGGCCGAGGUCAGAUUAGCUAGUUGGUGGGGUAAAGGCCUACCAAGGCAACGAUCUGUAACUGGUCUGAGAGGAUGAUCAGCCACACUGGGACUGAGACACGGCCCAGACUCCUACGGGAGGCAGCAGUGGGGAAUUUUGGACAAUGGGGGCAACCCUGAUCCAGCCAUUCCGCGUGAGUGAAGAAGGCCUUCGGGUUGUAAAGCUCUUUCGGCAGGAACGAAACGGCGAGCUCUAACAUAGCUCGCUAAUGACGGUACCUGGAGAAAAAGCCCCGGCUAACUUCGUGCCAGCCGCCGCGGUAAAAC